GCUGGUGUAGUUUAGAUUUUGCUAUCCCAGAUACUCCAUCAUUAUGAAGCCUUGCCACCACUCCUUCAAUCUUUGCAGUUCUUUGUGAUAACGUAGCGAGGGCAUUCAUAAUAGCAUCUAACUUAGACUCCGAACUUUCUGUCAUACUAAUGUCUUGACCUCCGGCCAUUCUAAAAGAAGGACAAAAAUGACCCUAUAAGAGGCAAUAUUGGUUUAUAGGAGGGUAAUCCACAACCGAUAAAACAC
rnacentral:lncRNA from 1 species